rnacentral:rRNA from 1 species
UUUAAAUUGAGAGUUUGAUCCUGGCUCAGGAUGAACGCUGGCGGCGUGCUUAACACAUGCAAGUCGAGCGAUGAAGUUUCCUUCGGGAAACGGAUUAGCGGCGGACGGGUGAGUAACACGUGGGUAACCUGCCUCAUAGAGUGGAAUAGCCUUCCGAAAGGAAGAUUAAUACCGCAUAAUGUUGAAAGAUGGCAUCAUCAUUCAACCAAAGGAGCAAUCCGCUAUGAGAUGGACCCGCGGUGCAUUAGCUAGUUGGUGGGGUAACGGCCUACCAAGGCGACGAUGCGUAGCCGACCUGAGAGGGUGAUCGGCCACAUUGGGACUGAGACACGGCCCAGACUCCUACGGGAGGCAGCAGUGGGGAAUAUUGCACAAUGGGGGAAACCCUGAUGCAGCAACGCCGCGUGAGUGAUGAAGGUUUUCGGAUCGUAAAGCUCUGUCUUUGGGGAAGAUAAUGACGGUACCCAAGGAGGAAGCCACGGCUAACUACGUGCCAGCAGCCGCGGUAAUACGUAGGUGGCGAGCGUUAUCCGGA